rnacentral:lncRNA from 1 species
UUUCUGUAUUAGUUUGCUAGGGUUGUCAUUACAAACUUACAAACCGGGUGGCUUAAACUACAGAAAUUUAUUUCUCAUUAUAUGGACUAUGUGGGCCCAAGAUCAAGGUGUCAUCAGGUUUGGUUUCUCCUAAGUCCUUUCUCCUUUGCUUGCAGAUGGUCACCUUGUCACUGAGUCCUCAGAUGGACUCUUCUCUGUGUGCAUGUGCACCCCUGGUGUCUCUGUUUCUCCACUUUUCCUCUUCUUACAAGAUGGCAGACUCCUUGACCAUACUUUAGCCAGGCUCCUCAAAAUGCUCUUCGCAACCAUGUGUCAACGUUUGGCCUCCGCAUCCAUCUUCCUGGUCUUGUUUUAUCAAGAUCCCUGAUGAUCAGGUUAAUGAGGAUCCCCACCCUUGACAUCUGCUCAUCCUCUCAUUGAUCAAAUUCCUCAUCCCCGUUCUCUCCAGGUGAAAUCUGACCGCCUGCACUCCCUUCAGAAAAAGCAUGUGGAGCCGGUCUUGCGAGAAACCCUGAUUUGAUGUCUCCUCUUCAUAAUUUUAUAUCCACUCACCACUUCCUGCUCUUUGGCCAGAAACCUCCAGUUGUCCAUGUUGUGUUGGCAUUGAUCCUGGUUUCCAGGACUGCCUCCAAUACACAGCACUUCCCAGCCUUUCUGUGCACAUGGACACUGGCCAGCACCUCAGCACUAUGCACGGGAGCCACUUUAAACAGGGAAACUGCCCACUACAAGCACUAAAAUGUGAAAAACCUAGUCCCAAGUUGAGCUCAAAGGAACUUCUUUACUUGAUGGAGCUGAAACCAGAAGGCAGAGAACUGCCUUUGUGACCUCACAUUGGAAUGUGCCUGUGCUGUGUGACUCAAAUUACUAGCCACAAUGAACAUUUCCAUGAGUGACUGCAAAAAUAACGACAGUUUUCUUUUAAGGAAGGAAAUACAGUUUAGUGAGGAAGUGAAUUAACAAAUAUGGAAUCUGUGAAUAAUGAGGGUCCUUGUGUUUCCAACACCAGGACACUCUGGCCUUAGAAGUCUUCACCAGGGCACAUUGCACAGACCUCAACCUAUUUGUGCAGUGCUAACAAUGCUGGAGGGUGGGGCUCCUCUUGCCCUCUGUAAAAUUGAAGCAUGAAAGACAAUUAUAUAUGUGAUUUAAAAUCCUCUAG